GCCCCCAGUUUUGGUGGUAGUUUUGAAAACAGUAAUGGAGGAUUGAUGUCUUUGUUGUGAUCCUGAUAUAUUUGUAUGUUUUGAUGCACUUUGUGCUCAUAGACUUUAUAUUGUGUUUGAUUAGUAGUUCCAUAAGUUCUAUGGAUUAGUAUAGUGAUGGAAUUCAUUCUGGAACAGGACAUCAUGAGUUUAUAUGAACCAUAUUUGAUGUGAACCUCUGUUACCAUUACUGUAGAAGUAUGAAGAUCGUUACUGUUAGUAUUGUGUAGACUGUCGAUGUUAGUUAUUAAACUCAGUUCCACAGACUGAACCAUAUUUGAUGUGAACCUCUGUUACCAUUACUGUAGAAGUAUGAAGAUCGUUACUGUUAGUAUUGUGUAGACUGUCGAUGUUAGUUAUUAAACUCAGUUCCACAGACUGGUGAGUUUAUGUAUACUUGAAAUAGCAUAAUAUAUAGUGUUCAUGUAAGACAGUGAAGAACAUUUGAUAUAAUAUAGAGUUAUCUACCGUUGAUAUAUAUGCUACGGUUAUUUGUAGAAUAUGGAUUUACAUAUAUCUAUUGAGUUAAUUGAAAUAGUGUUAUAUGAUCUUGACAUUAUAGUAGUAUGUUUAAUUGUCAAAGCUGAUGAUUUUAUAUGAACGAUGAGUGAAUAUUUGCAAGUGUUAAUUAUCAUCAGGCAUGUCAUGUCACCUUGUGUAUAGAUAUUGUAUAAGAACUAUAAACAUUCAAUGUUCUGAUUUUAUGUUGAUCUGCAGUAAUGUUAUAAUAACUGUAACACAGUAUGAUAUAGUAUUUUUAGAUUAAUGUGUUUAAUAUGUAUCUUGUUAUA